GACGAACGCUGGCGGCGUGCUUAACACAUGCAAGUCGAACGGAAAGGCCCUGCUUUUGUGGGGUGCUCGAGUGGCGAACGGGUGAGAAACACGUGAGUAACAUGCCCUUGACUUUGGGAUAACUCCAGGAAACUGGGGCUAUUACCGGAUAGAAGCUCUUGCUGCAUGGUGGGGGUUGGAGAGUUUCGGCGGUUGGGGAUGGUAGCGCGGCUUAUCCGCUUGUUGGUGAGGUAGUGGCUUACAAGGGCUUUGACGGGUAGCCGGCCUGAGAGGGUGACCGGGCACAAUGGGACUGAGAGACGGCCCAGACGGCAACGGGAGGCAGCAGUGGAGAAUAUUGCGGAAUGGGCGGGAGCCUGAUGCAGCGACGCCGCGUGCGGGAUGACGGCCUUCGGGUUGUAAACCGCUUUCGACGGUGACGAAGCGUGAGUGACGGUAAUGGGUAAGGAAGCACCGGCUAACUACGUG
rnacentral:rRNA from 1 species